GAUGAACGCUGGCGGCGUGCCUAAUACAUGCAAGUCGAGCGAACAGACGAGGAGCUUGCUCCUCUGACGUUAGCGGCGGACGGGUGAGUAACACGUGGAUAACCUACCUAUAAGACUGGGAUAACUUCGGGAAACCGGAGCUAAUACCGGAUAAUAUAUUGAACCGCAUGGUUCAAUAGUGAAAGACGGUUUUGCUGUCACUUAUAGAUGGAUCCGCGCCGCAUUAGCUAGUUGGUAAGGUAACGGCUUACCAAGGCAACGAUGCGUAGCCGACCUGAGAGGGUGAUCGGCCACACUGGAACGGAGACACGGUCAAGACUCAUACGGGAGGCAGCAGUAGGGAAUCUUCCGCAAUGGGCGAAAGACUGACGGAGAAACGCCGAGUGAGUGAUGAAGGUCUUCGGAUCGUAAAAAGAUGUUAUUAGGGAAGAACAAAUGUGUAAGUAACUAUGCACGUCUUGACGGUACCUAAUCAGAAAGCCACGGCUAACUACGUG
rnacentral:rRNA from 1 species